rnacentral:rRNA from 1 species
CAGUAGCCGCGGGAAUACGAAGGGGGCUAGCGUUGCCCGGAAUGACUGGGCGUAAAGGGCGCGUAGGCGGUUUUGACAGUCAGACGUGAAAUUCCUGGGCUUAACCUGGGGGCUGCAUUUGAGACGUCAAGACUAGAGUGUGAGAGAGGGUUGUGGAAUUCCCAGUGUAGAGGUGAAAUUCGUAGAUAUUGGGAAGAACACCGGUGGCGAAGGCGGCAACCUGGCUCAUUACUGACGCUGAGGCGCGAAAGCGUGGGGAGCAAACAGGAUUAGAUACCCCCGUAGUCCCUGUCUCUUAUAC